rnacentral:rRNA from 1 species
UACGAAGGGGGCUAGCGUUGCUCGGAUUGACUGGGCGUAAAGGGCGCGUAGGCGGUUCGUACAGUCAGACGUGAAAUUCCUGGGCUCAACCUGGGGGCUGCGUUUGAUACGUGCGGACUUGAGUGCGGAAGAGGGUCGUGGAAUUCCCAGUGUAGAGGUGAAAUUCGUAGAUAUUGGGAAGAACACCGGUGGCGAAGGCGGCGACCUGGACCACCACUGACGCUGAUGCGCGAAAGCCAGGGGAGCAAACGGG